UUUGCUUAAUUCACUUUAGCUCAACGUAAUGUUUGUUUGACUUUGGAAAUGUAAUCAGCGCGCCAAGGUAUGCUGUGCUGGGGACCACUGGUGGCUGCUCCAAGCUUCUCAGGUUCACCACAAUAUUUAGAAAUAUCUACAACAAGGUCUCAUUUCCCUUGGUAGGCUGAGACACAACCCAAGUCUGUAAACUGAUAUCCUCGCCUAUCUCUGUAGAUUGACCUCAAAAUACAUGUGACAGUAUUACAGCAAGGCACUAUCUGAUUUUCACAUUGCAUUAAUGCUUGUAUCAUAAGUCCUUGUGCAGUUGAAUUCCCAACGUUGGACUCUGGCUUGUACGAGAACUAAAUGUGACACACAUUACAAAUAUAAUACAUUCCAAGACUCACUGAAACGCAAGCGCUUUGUUCGAUUGUCGUGCAAACACACGUGUACAUUGAUGAAUGCCGCACUAAGACAUGGUGAGUGAGAUACUUGAUUUUCCAAUUAUAGUCUCGGUUUUUAACCUGCGGGUCUGUGAAAUGUGAACAAUUGUGGUUUAGUCCAGCACAUGGUGAAUUAAUGUGACGCCUGGGAGACUGUGUCUGUGGAUGCGUUUUGGGAAAUGCCACUGUAGGAGCCUGAUGUUGCUGUAGAUUAUACUAAAUAUACACACACGCACACACAUAGUUUGGCAUAAAUGGGCUCAAUUAUUAUUUUUUACUUUUCCAUGUGUCAGUUAGUGUGUGCACUAAAUAUUAUCCUUUACAAUUGUGUGCGGUGUGUGGUAGUGUGUGUGUGUGUGUGUUUGUGAAAGACUUUAUGAGAUCAUUGAAAGCAAUUAGCUGUGGCACUGCAGGCCUCGUUAGAAACUUGUUGAUGGAUCGGAAACAUCCACUGCGUAGUCACACUUAGUUGUACUCUCCUCAAAAAUCCUUGCUCUGGUCAACUCAAGUUUGUUGUCCAUUCGUGCAAAAAUAUGUACAUGCACACACGACAAUGCAAUGAUUUUUAUUUUUUUCGGGGGCAAGAUUUUCUUGCAAUCCCUCUGAUGAUAGCCGCCUGUUAUUUAUCAGUGACACACACAUAUACUCAUAUCUCGACUCUCUUGUACAUACAUCACUUCCCAGUAAAACUACCCAUAAAGUGAUAAACUCUCCACAUAUGCCAAGUGCUCAGUGGCUGAACCGGCCCAGCUUAUGAGCAGCCUGGUGUGGAAAGAUGUUUGGCUUGAGUAGCGGCAUUUGAUGAAAACCCUAUCAUUUUCAUCCUUGCUCUUGCAUUUCUAUUUCAAUCACCUGAUGUAAUUUUUCAGCGGGGAAUAUGUUGGAUGGCAAUGUUCACUUGCGACCAUGGCUAUGUUUCGCUCUUCGAAACCAGCUAACACCCAAUCUAAUCAGUAUACAUUCUCUUAACAUGACAACAAACCUCCUGGUGAUUGUGUUAGGCAAUAUUCAUUUUUAUGAGUGUGUUCAUGGGUGUUUUGCAUUGGUCUGUGAAUAUGCGAGCAAGUGAGCCAGAUAUUGAGCAUGUUAUUUUUUCUCCAGCGCGCAAGUUUGUGUUAAUGUGGUAGCAGCCACAAUGUUGUACUCUCAAAUUAGUAUGUGGUUUUGGAAAAGAGUUUUUUUGAGCAGAUGAAAGGGAUUUGCUGGGAUGGGGAGGACUGGGUACUGUAUGUGUGGUGAUGUUUGCGCGCAUCUGUGCCUGAUCCAUUUCUAUGUUUUGUGAAUGUGUUCGUAUUACUGGAAUGUAAUUAUUUGUAUUAUAACAUUACUACCUCUGAACCAUAUGCAUUACAAGACUGUAUGUCUGUGUUGCUCUUGAUUUACCGUCACCAAAACAACAGAGUUGUACUACUUUAUGGACAAGAGUUACAUCGCUAGAGAGUACCAAUACUAGGUAUUGGUACCGCUAACAGCCUUAUGUCGAGGUAUCGGUACUCAUGACAGCGGCUGAUACCAGUAUUGGCUGCCUUCUUGUGGACAUUUUAUUUUCAGGAAAAAGAAAUUAGAAGUGACAAAAAAUGUAAUUUUAAGGAAAAAUACUAGAUUGGAAUAUAUGUACUACCUAAAAAUUUGCGAUUAUUAUUUUUGAGGUGAAUUUUUAUCAAUAACAAUUACUAGUGGUAUCCAUACUUGGCAUUGGUAUCAGUGACUGUGCAAGAAUUGAGUACUCAGUAUCAGCCUGAAAAAAGUGGUAUUGAACAUCCCUAGUUAUUGCGUACAAAAAGUAAUGCAUAUAUGACUAACUUAGCUAGUUGUUAAAAGCAGGGGGAGUCGGUAUAAGAGCUCAAAACGAUUCUGGAUGGGUGGUUAGUGAUAAAAGUUUCAAACCUUGCAAAGCACUCUGUAAACAAAACAAAGGAUGAGCUCAGGGUCAAUGUCCAAAUGUAGAUAUCCUCACUGAGGUGCUGCAGCUUAGUGCAGAAGCUGCCAAAAAGCAGCAGGACAAAUAUUGUCUUAAAGAUGAUAUAAGGCAGGUUAAGGGAAGGUCCUCAUAAAGGAGAGACAAGCAAUGUUGUUGGAGACGAGUGGUGGAGGUCUUAAAAAAUGACCUGGCUGCAGUUCAAUGAGUCUGUCAGAGAAGGAUGUGUCUGAAGGUGGACAAGGAAGGCCAGGAGGAGACAACACAGGCCUGCUACGAUUCAGCUCAACGUUCAACAAGUUGUGCAUGCUUCCACUGCAGUUCCUUUAGCUUUGAGUUUCAAGACAUGACAGGGAAUCAAAUCAUUCUCCAUUUCAUCUCAAAAACAUUAUCUGAAAGUUUAUCUCUGUCCUUUUGCUGAGCAUCACUCAUUGCUUUUUUUCAACAACAUGUAGUUUGUGUACUCCUGAGAAGGAAAAUUAAAAAAAAGAGGGAGGAGGUGAAAAAACGGUGGUGAGUGGAAAAACUGAGUGUUUAAAUGUGUGUUACCAAGGCGCAAACAUAUUUGUGUAGUUUACAGCCCUAUAACGAAGGAGGAGUGUUGCAGUUCCUGCUGUGGUUGCAUGAAUGAGGGAUGAGGAUUAUAAAAACGAAGAGAGAAUUGAGUUGUGGUCGCAGCUGUAGCCGAAUCAAAGGAACGGGCUUGUGCUUCUGUGUGUCAACAUGUGUUUCAGUUGUAUCUCAUGGCUGCUUCAUCUGGUCCUCAUUUAACUUAGUUUGGCUGCUCCUGUGUCGAACUACAUGUGUGCCUGAACAAGUGCCUGUGUCUGCUUGCUGAUAGCCAAAUGAAAA